GUAUUUUAAAAAUCAGUGGUAUCAAACAGUUCAGGAGUCAAAAAAGAUGGUACACAAUUUAUUGUAAAAAACGUACGAAAUAUAUCUGAAUUGUGAUUCAUUUUGAGUCGAUUAUUUAAUCUUUUAAAAUUUUAAUUUUAUUUAUCAAUCUUUUUAUUUAUUUGAUUUUAGCCGGUAAAUAAGUUAGUAUACUUUAUGAAAUUUUUGCAACUAUAAUUUUAUUAAAAUAAAUAGUUUUUUUAAAAUUUAAAGUCAAAACAUUGUUGAUUUAUUCAAAUCAAAUAAUUAAAAUAUUGUGUCACGCUCUGAAACAUGCUUGAAUUGUCUGCAAUAGAAUAGACCUGCCGAAUGGACAAAAUAUUAUAUUCUACCUGCACAAGACAUAGUAU
rnacentral:lncRNA from 1 species